AUCUAACUGACGAGUUCCAAAUAGGACGAAACGCGCGUCCUAAAU
rnacentral:hammerhead_ribozyme from 1 species